UAUGCACUUGAAAAAUGGUUGGUUAUC
rnacentral:sRNA from 1 species